rnacentral:rRNA from 1 species
GAGUUUGAUCCUGGCUCAGAUUGAACGCUGGCGGCAGGCCUAACACAUGCAAGUCGAGCGGAUGACGGGAGCUUGCUCCUUGAUUCAGCGGCGGACGGGUGAGUAAUGCCUAGGAAUCUGCCUGGUAGUGGGGGACAACGUUUCGAAAGGAACGCUAAUACCGCAUACGUCCUACGGGAGAAAGCAGGGGACCUUCGGGCCUUGCGCUAUCAGAUGAGCCUAGGUCGGAUUAGCUAGUUGGUGGGGUAAUGGCUCACCAAGGCGACGAUCCGUAACUGGUCUGAGAGGAUGAUCAGUCACACUGGAACUGAGACACGGUCCAGACUCCUACGGGAGGCAGCAGUGGGGAAUAUUGGACAAUGGGCGAAAGCCUGAUCCAGCCAUGCCGCGUGUGUGAAGAAGGUCUUCGGAUUGUAAAGCACUUUAAGUUGGGAGGAAGGGCAGUAAGUUAAUACCUUGCUGUUUUGACGUUACCGACAGAAUAAGCACCGGCUAACUCUGUGCCAGCCGCCGACGG